CAUAAAAUGACUCUCGGCAACGGAUAUCUCGGCUCUUGCAUCGAUGAAGAACGUAGCAAAAUGCGAUACUUGGUGUGAAUUGCAGAAUCCCGUGAACCAUCGAGUCUUUGAACGCAAGUUGCGCCCGAAGCCAUUAGGUUGAGGGCACGCCUGCCUGGGUGUCACA
rnacentral:rRNA from 1 species